GACGAACGCUGGCGGCGUGCUUAACACAUGCAAGUCGAACGGAAAGGCCCUGCUUGCCGGGUACUCGAGUGGCGAACGGGUGAGUAACACGUGGGUGAUCUGCCCUGCACUUCGGGAUAAGCCUGGGAAACUGGGUCUAAUACCGGAUAGGAGCCAUUUUUAGUGUGGUGGUUGGAAAGUUUUUUCGGUGUAGGAUGAGCUCGCGGCCUAUCAGCUUGUUGGUGGGGUAAUGGCCUACCAAGGCGGCGACGGGUAGCCGGCCUGAGAGGGUGGACGGCCACAUUGGGACUGAGAUACGGCCCAGACUCCUACGGGAGGCAGCAGUGGGGAAUAUUGCACAAUGGGCGCAAGCCUGAUGCAGCGACGCCGCGUGGGGGAUGACGGCCUUCGGGUUGUAAACUCCUUUCGCUAGGGACGAAGCUUUUUGUGACGGUACCUAGAUAAGAAGCACCGGCUAACUACGUG
rnacentral:rRNA from 1 species